CAUGUAAUCCUCGGAACAACCCUAUGAUAUAAAUGUUACUAGCAUUCCCAUUUUAUGGACGAGGAACUUGAUGUACAGAUUGCUUAAAUGACAUGUGAAUGUAAUUGCCAUUAGCUGAGAGGAAUCGUCUAGGAGGUGAACAGAUUGGAGCAAUAUAAGGAGUUCGCUUUUCUACUUUUCAAGAUCUAGAGAACACUAACCACCCACCUGUCCAGGCUCAGUCUGCCUGUGCUUUCAUGGUACACAUGUCUUACCUGCAAGUGUUGUAUUAGGUACUGCAGGUUGGCACCAGGGCUCCCACAGCUUGGUCUAACUCUGGAAAUAGUGGUAUGAUGGGAAAUGUUUCCCAGUCCCUUGGAGGGGGGAGUAGGAUUUUCUGAGUAUUUGCUGAUUUCUGUGUAAAUAUUCAAAUUCAAUUUCAAACAAUGUCAUUUUAUUGAAUAUGGAGUUUGAGAGAGAUGUACACAGUCUCCCAUCAGCUGCACCUAACCACUAACUGGAGCCUUUAUGAUAAUUUUAAAGGGUUAGUGACUAUCUGUCUACCUAUCUAUCUAUCUAUCUAUCUAUCUAUCUACCUAUCUACCUAGUAUUUGGGGCCCCGAAAUGAGGAGGAGAAUUUAUGGUUGGAGACAUGGCCAAAGCAGAUGGGAAAAGUAACUUAGACUUGAACUAGAGGUUAAAGUAUGGAUGGUAAAGCAAGAAUAGACAGAAUAAAUCCAAGGAUGUGGAAUUAUGAAGGGACUACAUAACUAUAGGAGAGCUCAGAGGUUGAAAUAACUGAUUCUUGGCUGAUGGCAUGAGGGUCCAGAGCAGAGAUGACCAGGAUGUAAACUGAGGGGACUCCAAGGCAGGUCGGCCAAUCAGGAGUCUCUGGAGUAGGUAAAGGAAGAAACUCAGUCAGUGUAGAGAAGAGGCAUCAGAGGACCCCGAGAGCAGGCAACAGCAAACACACUCAAGCUUGGUGUCUGCCAAAUGACCACUUCUACAAACUGUCUGCCUCUGUAUCUCCAGGAGUUCAUUUCAAAAAAUAUUUUUGAUGCAGUGUAUCUGGGUUGCGUCAAGGAACUACGUGCUUCUUAGAAGCUUCCUAAGUCAUUUAUAGACAAUAUCAGGUUUGGAAACGUGUUAAGUACCAAAGACAGAAGGAGUCAGGAUAUCAAGGAAUCCCAAGAGCCAAUAAAAGUCACCUAAUUAUGAGAUUAGAGUUUAGGGCCAGGACAGCAAUGCCUGAAAGGAAUAGGACCCAGAUAACAAGAUAACCCAGUAGCCAAGUAGCAGGAUACAUAGGUAGGAGCUGAUGCUGAGACCUGGGCACGAGGACCACGUGAGGCAUCCUCAGCAAGGGUUCACAAGGGUCCCAAACGUGUCACCAGGAAGUUUUUAACUUCUUGGCAAUGGGUCCAAGAGAAAAAUGUAUUCAGGGAAGUGACAUGAUCAUUUCACUUUCACAGAAGGAUGGUGGGCAGAGUGCAAAGAAACAAGACCAGAAGUAAGAAAACUAACCAAGGGGGAAAUCAAACAAAAGAUGAUGAAGGCGUGAACAAUGGCUGUGACCAUAGGAAUGGAAGAGUGAGGUUGGUUUUAGAGACAUUUCAGAGUUAGAACUGCCAUAGGAUAUCUGAUUGGAUAUGGAGAGGGAGGGAUAGGGAGAAAUGGAGGAUAAUUCUCACAUUUCUGGAUAAAGGGAGAGUAGGAAUAGGGAGAAAUGGAAGAGGAUCCCCACACCUCCAACUAGGGCGAUCUGGUAAACAGCAUGCUGCAGGGAGAUAAGCACCUAAGAAGAAAAACAGAGAUGAGAUCAGGACUCUUGGUGGCAAAUAAGAGGAAAUAACUCAACUGGCUCAGACAAAAAAUGGCUUUUCUUGUUGCAUGGAAUCAAAGAAAGGCUUGAACCAGCAACGAUGUCGUGAACUGUGGUAGCUACCAUGCUGUCUUCUCAGAAUGUAUUUUCAUAUCCCUUCUAAUCACAGUCUCCAGGUUUCGAGUACAGCUACGUCUGACAUACUCACAGACACAGGAGAAGUGGAUGAGCAAGGACUGGCCGGUCAGAGUGCCCCACACUUUUGGCCAGAGUGACCAACUCAGAGGUGGUCGUAAGACGUGAGCUUUUGAACAUACAUGUCAAGGUGUAUAGAUACAUUAUAGUUUUUUACCUGUUUCAGAUACUUGAAUGCACAUUUCAGGUAUCUUCACAGAGGUCAGAAUGAGGCAUGGAUCUCAUAAUACUUUAGAAAGUAUAUUAAAAAUGAAUAACCAAAUCACUGAAAUCAGAGACAUUUUGACUUGAGAACUAACACUACCACUGAUGCGCCGUGUGGAUCUGAGCAAAUCACCCUUUGAACCUUGCUCAGCCUCGUCACCCAUCAGAUGGAGGUAAUAAUAGCGUGUAACGCACCCAGUUGGUCUAAGAACUGAACAAAAUAAUGCAGAGAAGGGUCUUCAUGCAGUCCCUGCCUAUGGUAAACACUCCAUAAUUAUUAUUUAUCAUUAGUAUCAUUAUCCUCCAUCCAGAAGUCUUCAUUUUAGGGCCCUACUAGUGACCUUCUCUCCUGACUUGUUUCUACCCCCCCAAGCGCCUGCCAGCUCUUGUCAGAGUACCCAUCAGCACACCCCUAAUCUUGCCCCACUGUCCUCCCACCACAUGUGUCAUGUUGCCUCCCUCUUACCCUGUGAAUCCAUCAACUGGAAACACUGUUGAAGAAAAACCACACGUUCACACCAACAAGCAAGUGGAGAGGCCAUCAUUGAGAAUCACGUGCAGGUGAUGAAGCCCAGAAGGCAGAAGCUGCUCUGCUGAGAGACCCAGCAGGAGCAGAACCACUUCAAGGCCCAGAGGACAUCAUGGUGAGAAGAGACUUCCUCCGAGCUUCUUCUAGAACUAACGGUGCCCAGCACCUCAGGAGCUGCAGCAUUGUGGGCACAGCGGUGGUGCCACAUCCAUCAGUCACGGCAGCAAGAGAUCUUCUUCUGACGACUGUGAUGCUGGUAGCUGGUAACCUAGGGAAACUAGAACAGGAAAAGAAGAAGAUGAAAAUGUCACACGGGCCCCAUGAUCACCUGGGAGGCUUCCCCUUUGGGGACUGGCAGACGUAAUUGUGAGAACUUGGAUGCUGAGGUCUUGUAAACAUACUGCAGGAGGCAUUGUAAUUUCAGCUUUAAAAAUAAAAGAGGUCAAAUUUUAUUUAAA